AUGGCAAUGAUGAUUGGCGCAGGGGUACGGACCUCAGCUAGAUCAUGGGAGCUGAAUGCAAACUCUUUAUUUCAGUGCAACUGGCGUGUGGCCGGCUCACUGGAAACAGAUUUGCAUGAGAACUUCGCCAGAAGCUGAGCCAU
ensembl:snoRNA SNORD94 small nucleolar RNA, C/D box 94